rnacentral:rRNA from 1 species
UGGUGCGGUGACUUGUCUGGUUAAUUUCGAUAACGAACGAGAUCCGAGCUAUCUAGUUGUGUCAUGCUAUUCUUCAUAGCGUGAUAUUUUUUAGAUGGACCAUCAGUACUAAACUGAAGGAAGUGACGGGCUAAAUCA